rnacentral:rRNA from 1 species
GACGUAGGGCGCGAGCGUUGUCCGGAUUUAUUGGGCGUAAAGAGCUCGUAGGCGGCUUGUCGCGUCGUCCGUGAAAACUUGGGGCUCAACCCCAAGCUUGCGGUCGAUACGGGCAGGCUGGAGUUCGGUAGGGGAGACUGGAAUUCCUGGUGUAGCGGUGGAAUGCGUAGAGAUCGGGAAGAACAUCAGUGGCGAAGGCGGCCUGCUGGGCUGUUGCUGACGCUGAGGCGCGACAGCGUGGGGAGCAAACAGGG